GCUUCUGUAGCCUAGUGGUUAGAGCGUCCACCUAAUAUGCGGAAGGUCGUGGGUUCGAACUCCGGCCAAGUCA